UACAGAGGGUGCAAGCGUUAAUCGGAAUUACUGGGCGUAAAGCGCGCGUAGGUGGUUCAGUAAGUUGAAUGUGAAAUCCCCCGGGCUCAACCUGGGGAACUGCAUCCAAAAACUGCUGAGCUAGAGUAUGGUAGAGGGUGGUGGAAUUUCCUGUGUAGCGGUGAAAUGCGUAGAUAUAGGAAGGAACACCAGUGGCGAAGGCGACCACCUGGACUGAUACUGACACUGAGGUGCGAAAGCGUGGGGGGAGCAAACAGG
rnacentral:rRNA from 1 species